GAACGCACAUUGCGCCCCUUGGUAUUCCAUGGGGCAUGCCUGUUCGAGCGUCAUUUGUACUCUCAAGCCUUGCUUGGUGUUGGGUGUUUGUCUCUGCUCUGCUUAGACUCGCCUUAAAUAUAUUGGCAGCCGGUAUACUGGUUUGAAGCGCAGCACAUUUGCAAUUCAAGCCUGCUAUUAUUGGUAUCCACAAAGAAUAUUAACACUUUUGACCUCGGAUCAGGUAGGGAUACCCGCUGAACUUAAG
rnacentral:misc_RNA from 1 species